UACGUAGGGUGCAAGCGUUGUCCGGAAUUAUUGGGCGUAAAGAGCUCGUAGGCGGCUUGUCGCGUCGGCUGUGAAAACUCGGGGCUCAACCCCGAGCCUGCAGUCGAUACGGGCAGGCUAGAGUCCGGCAGGGGAGACUGGAAUUCCUGGUGUAGCCGUGAAAUGCGCAGAUAUCAGGAGGAACACCGGUGGCGAAGGCGGGUCUCUGGGCCGAUACUGACGCUGAGGAGCGAAAGCGUGGGGAGCGAACAGG
rnacentral:rRNA from 1 species